UUCAAGGUCUCUUUGUCUUUUAUGUACACUAAAGCUUUAAACCAAGUAGGGAAACGAGAACCCACGUGAACAAUAACUGAAAAAUGUAUUGGUGCACAGAAAAUUUUGUCCGCUAGAGAUCCUCAUUCCAGGUACAGAAGACGAAAUUAGCUUAGAUAGAGAAUAAUUUUAUGUAGUUUUGUUAACCACUAAUUUGUUUAUCCAAGUUCAAAGAUGAUUAUUUUUUUUUUCGUUAUUUUUUCAUAUAUUGUUAAAUAAUGUAAAAAUAUAUAUAUUAUAAUUAAACUAUGGAGUCCAAGUCAAGUCUCCAGUCCAAGUU
rnacentral:lncRNA from 1 species